rnacentral:lncRNA from 1 species
CGGUACUGCACCAAGUAUGUUCUGGAAAUGCGUCUAUUUAUGUUUGUUUAGACGAUUCACUGAUGGUUAAAUGUUGAUGUUGGAUUUGUACGUAACAUUUUUGAGUUGUGCAGUCCACCAUGCACUCUUGAUGUUGAAUACCAUUAUCCCUGGGAUUUUGCUCAGCAGGUGCAUUAUCCACAUCAUUUACAACAAGUUGGACCAAUUUAUUUCCGUACCCUAUGGAAGCGACAUGUGUUUGGUGUAGGUGCAGAAGGAUCAGGCAAACAGACUUUUAUUUUAUUGAUGAAAGUCAGUGCACUGGGAAAGGAGUGGAAGGUGUGGUGUCUAGGGCUCAUCAUUAUUUGCAGAUCUAUGGCAUAGGAUAAAAACAUGCACAGGUUGUAUAAUACUAAAACAAAAUAUGUUAUACCUUAAUAUAU